rnacentral:rRNA from 1 species
UAACCUGCCCAAGAGAUCGGGAUAACACCUGGAAACAGAUGCUAAUACCGGAUAACAACAGAUGAUGCCUAUCAACUGUUUAAAAGAUGGUUCUGCUAUCACUCUUGGAUGGACCUGCGGUGCAUUAGCUAGUUGGUAGGGUAACGGCCUACCAAGGCGAUGAUGCAUGGCCGAGUUGAGAGACUGAUCGGCCACAUUGGGACUGAGACACGGCCCAAACUCUUACGGGAGGCAGCAGGU